rnacentral:misc_RNA from 1 species
GAUGAAGAACGCAGCGAAAUGCGAUAAGUAAUGUGAAUUGCAGAAUUCAGUGAAUCAUCGAAUCUUUGAACGCACAUUGAGCCCCCUGGUAUUCCGGGGGGCAUGCCUGUUCGAGCGUCAUUUCACCACUCAAGCCUCGCUUGGUAUUGGGCAACGCGGUCCGCCGCGUGCCUCAAAUCGACCGGCUGGGUCUUCUGUCCCCUAAGCGUUGUGGAAACUAUUCGCUAAAGGGUGUUCGGGAGGCUACGCCGUAAAACAACCCCAUUUCUAAGGUUGACCUCGGAUCAGGUAGGGAUACCCGCUGAACUUAAGCAUAUCAAUAAGCGGAGGA